GUCUCCUACCCGAGGCUUAGCCUCUUUUCCAUCUUGUUUCUCAUGAGAAACGGAGUCACCCGAACAUGACGAGGCAGAUUCAUCUGCAUGGAGGUGAGAAGCAAUCUUCGACCACCUGAUCAAAAGGUGGAAAAGCUGUGUCAAGAUCGAAACUUUGAGCCACAAGAAUGCAAACAAUAUGCAAAGGAUGGUGAUUUUUACUUGUUCCCGAAGCUCUGGUGAAGCUUAAUGAUUGUUUCUUCCUCCUCUGCAGUGAAAUUCCCACGUUUCACAUCUGGUCUCAGGUAGUUAAUCCAUCUCAAACGGCAACUCUUCCCACACCUUAACAGCCCUUCAUUGCAAUUACACAGAAAAGACACUUAGCUGAAGAACAGGACAGGAAAGGCAACAGAGGCAAAUCAAGCAUCGUGCAAUGAGGUUGUUUAUCCUGAAUCUUCAGACAGGAGAUCGCAACGAGUUGCAAUAUCUUCAAUGGAAAGACAACUUAGUAUAUAUUAUACCAGCUUGUUUGGGGAGAGACCUCCAGUUCUCAUGGCCGUUCCUGUGAAUGAAAGAGAUGAGUUUCAUGUCUUCAUCUGGGCUCCAUGGGCCUCUCUUCACUUUGGUCUUGUCGCAACAUGGUGCUCUUCCCUUCCCCAUUCUCUCUCGCCCUCUCUCUCUCUCUCUCUCUCUCUCUCUCUGUAGAGAUUCCCUUACCAAAUCAAAAUUGUCCCUCUUUAUUGUG